UUUGACUACUGUGUUGUGCAUGUUUCCUUCCCCCUGACCACAUGUGAAAGGAAAAUCGAAUACAGAGCCCAGAGACAUGGCGGGCAAGGACAAAGACAAAGACGUAGACAUUGAUAGAAAGUCCCAUUUAUUUAGGGUAGGCUUACAGGUUUAAGAGAGCAGCCGACGAUGAAGGGUUCAAUGUCGCAUGGUACGUAUAUAGCCACAAUCCUCAAGCCACCCUAUUCUUACAGGACCGCCUCCACCAAACGAAAAUUCAAGGCCUUGUUCCAGUACCAUAACUUGGUUUCCGAUAAUGAUGAGAAUGGGCUAUUGACCAAGUAAGUCAAUGCUUCUGUCAUAAGGCCUCUGCCUCGGCCUCCUCCUCCUCCUCCAUGCAUUGGUCAUCAGUUUGAACCACACAACGUUGUUGACGCCUUCGAUCGUGAUGCUUGGUGGAAAGCAGCUAUCGCUAAAGUUCAAUCUUUGGAGGACAAGAGUAACUCCAAGAGGAAACAGAUGAACCAAAAAGG
rnacentral:misc_RNA from 1 species